rnacentral:rRNA from 1 species
UACCUACGGGGCGCAGCAGUGGGGAAUAUUGCACAAUGGGGGGAACCCUGAUGCAGCGACGCCGCGUGAGUGAAGAAGUAUUUCGGUACGUAAAGCUCUAUCAGCAGGGAAGAAAAAAGGACGGUACCUGAGUAAGAAGCCCCGGCUAACCACGUGCCAGCAGCCGCGGUAAUACGUAGGGGGCAAGCGUUAUCCGGAUUUAUUGGGUGUAAAGGGUGCGUAGACGGGUAUACAAGUUAGUAGUGAAAUCCCUCGGCUUAACUGAGGAACUGCUACUAAAACUAUAUAUCUUGAGUACUGGAGGG